rnacentral:rRNA from 1 species
AUGAACCUGAAUUCCUGCACUAUCCAAGGUGACAGGAGCUCUUGCAAGUACAGCUGUUCUGGGCAAGAUGUGCAAAAUUCUCAGCAGCAGCACCCACCGGGUAUCACUGAAUCAAGGAAGCCGCUGCAAAAGAAUGGUAUGGUCGUUCUUGUCGCUCGGCGUGAAGAUCUGAACAGACUGGAUGCCCAAACCCCAAAACUGCUAUUCUGCACCUCGUCUUCCCCUGGCUCAAAACCAGAUAAUACCGUAUCUGCAACCCUGGGAGCUCACAGCGCGAGGAGUUCUGACUCCUUUUCUUCUUCUACCAACGAUUCAGAGGUGGAAUGGGCCGAGCCGUUCUCCACCUGGGGCUCCCGGGCGUAUACCUUCGAGCCAGGAGACGGCAGACGGGAGUCCGUCAUGUGGACGAAGCCAGGGACAGCCGCGCCGUUCGUGGAAUCUAUGGCCGCCUGCAGCUUUUUCAACUGGGACUUCAGGCAUAUGACUCGCCCCUUGUUCCAUUUUGGGUAA